rnacentral:rRNA from 1 species
UAUGUGAUCGUCUCUCGCAUAUCAAUAAGCGGAGGAAAAGCAUAACAUGUAUACCUACGCUUAGGAUGUUGACGAGACUGUCGAUCUCAUCUAUACAUGACUCUGUGCAUAUCAAUAAGCGGAGGAAAAGAAACUAACAAGGAUUCCCCUAGUAACGGCGAGUGAAGCGGGAAGAGCUCAAAUUUGAAAUCUUAAAGGGUUUCCCUUUACGAAUUGUAGUUUAAAGAAGUGUUUUCUGUUGAGGUUUUGGUAAAAGUUCUUUGGAAUAGGACAUCAUAGAGGGUGAGAAUCCCGUAUUUGACCUUUACUUUCAACUUUGUGAUACACUUUCAAAGAGUCGGAUUGUUUGGGAAUGCAGUCCAAAAUGGGUGGUAAAUUUCAUCUAAAGCUAAAUAUUGGCGAGAGACCGAUAGCGAACAAGUACCGUGAGGGAAAGAUGAAAAGAACUUUGAAAAGAGAGUUAAACAGUACGUGAAAUUGUCAAAAGGGAAGCGUUUGACACCAGUGUUGUUUUUCUGAAAAUCAAUUAAGGAACUGUUUAUGCUAAGCUGUUUAGACUUUAUCAGCUAAUCUGUUUAGUUUUGAGCUUUUCUUUAAUGCACUUUUCAGUUAACAAGUCAACAUCAAUUUCUUUUGCUGUAAAAAAGCUUGAGGAAGGUGGCUUGAGAUUCGUCUUAAGUGUUUAUAGCCUCUUGCCUAUGCAGUCGGAGAGAUUGAGGUCUGCAGCGUAGAUCCUUCGGGGCUAAAUGCAUUUGUGCUAAGUUAUAGCAUUUUAUAGACAACUUGUUGACUAUGAUUUGUCUUGUAGCUUACUCGCUUAUGUUAUUUUACCUACGCUUAGGAUGUUGAACGCGCACAGAGUCUC